UUCUCAGUAGUAUAGUGGUCAGCACCUCCGCGUUUCACGCGGGAGACUGGGGUUCGAUUCCCCGCCGGGGAG